GGCGCGUAGGCGGCUUUAUAAGUCAGAUGUGAAAGCCCACGGCUUAACUGUGGAAGUGCAUUUGAAACUGUGAAGCUUGAGUAUCGGAGGGGAGUGUGGAAUUCCCGGUGUAGAGGUGAAAUUCGUAGAGAUCGGGAGGAACACCGGUGGCGAAGGCGACACUCUGGACGAAUACUGACGCUGAGGCGCGAAAGCGUGGGGAGCAAACA
rnacentral:rRNA from 1 species